rnacentral:rRNA from 1 species
GACGAACGCUGGCGGCGUGCUUAACACAUGCAAGUCGAACGGUGAAGCGCCUUCCUUUUUGGUGGGUGUGGAUGAGUGGCGAACUGGUUAGUAACACGUUAGUAACCUGCCCCCUUCUUCUGGAUAACCGCAUGAAAGUGUGGCUAAUACGGGAUAUUCUGAGUCUGUCGCAUGAUGGGUCUAGGACAGAUUUGGUUUCGGUGGGGGAUGGGCUCGCGGCCUAUCAGCUUGUUGGUGGGGUGACGGCCUACCAAGGCGGUGACGGGUAGCCGGCCUGAGAGGGUGGGCGGUCCCGCUGGGGCUGAGCCACGGACACGCCUACUGCGGGAGGCAGCAGUGGGGAUUAUUGCACAAUGGGAGGCAGCCUGAUGCAGCGCCGCCGCGUGCGGGAUGGAGUCCUUCGGGUUGUGAACCUCUUUCGCGAGUGAAGCAGGCCUGCCUCGUUUGUGGGUGGGUUGACGGUACCUGGACAAGAAGCGCCGGCUAACUACGUG